GCAGCAGAAGGGAAAAGAAAAAAUAAUGGAAUAUUUUCUGUCCACAAUUGGUUGAAUCUGUGGAUGUGGAAACUGCAGAUACAGAUGGAGAGCUGACUAUACUAGCUUUUUGUUUCAUUUUUCACUUCUGGAACAAGAGGAUUUAUCUGACUCAACUGGAGAUGGCUCCCUUCCCUAAUUUAUUGUUGCAUCCUGAAGCUUCCCCCAUGCUGGGCUCAGUGUGAACAAACAGCGCGGGAGAAUGCAACCACUGCAGAGGCAUAUGUUUGAGAUGCCUGGCCACUGGAGGUCAUCUCGUCUACUAUGUUCACCACAGAUAAAGAAUGAAAAGAGAAUAUACAACCUUGUGAUUGCUAGCAGUGAAAGCUCAGAG
rnacentral:lncRNA from 1 species